CACAUAGACUUGUGAACCAGAAAAAAUGUAUAAACUUCUCCACUGGUGAAAACCAAGUACAUCAAGAGCAAAACAGGACAGCUGGUGGUUUAGCCUAAAACAAGCAGUCAAAGAAUGAAAAGGUUUUGUUUCUGAGGAACAUUUAAGGUUUUCUUUUUUUAUGCCGGUUUUUGAUUUAUGAGCUAACUAAGAUCUGUGGUUCACAUUACUUUGAGACUUUCCUGUUUUUCUUUUUUUUUUAAAUUACAAAAGUUCUGACAAUGAUUCAUCGAACACCUAAAGUCACAUUUUUAUUGUGUAGUCCUUCAUAAACUCAGAAAAAUGUGUAAACAGUUGUACUUUUUUGCUUGUUGAUACUUACUAAAAUUAAAAUGUGUUUUACCUUAAAGGUGCUGUAUGUAAGAUUCUGA